CGGCCGUGAGUCAGUUCCAAUUCUCGUCCUCAGCGAAAUUCAUCAAAACAACGUCAACGUCGUCGUUGCCCUGGCGCGUUGUUGCCGCUGUGCGUUCUCGUUCUCGAAGGCUCAACCAAGAUGGAUGUGAUCCUUUCCCUCGAAACCUGAUGCAAGUGUUCAAGCGUUCGAGUGUUUUCGUGUGCUUUUGUGUGUUGUGCGUGGUAAGUGGCAAGAUGUGGUGAUCACCGAGUUGUGAACGAGUCGUUAAAAAAGGGAAGUUGCGCAGGAUAAGCGUCCGAGACAAGUGGAGCCCUUAAGGCUUGGGUACGCUUUCGGCACCGGUUGCCCAUUUCGUGUUCGGUUACAAUCACUGUUCGUUGGUGCACCCGUUGGCCGGAGUUUCAAGUGGUGUGGUGUGAAAGAAAAAGCAUAAAAAAGGAAAAAAGAAACGGAUAUACUUCUCCUCCCUCUCAAGUGGCCGUGUGCGUGUCCGGCGGGAAGUCGAGCCAGCAAAAUCUCGGCUAGCGGGAGAGAAUUCCAACAAGUCGAAGGAAAAACGCAACGAAUAAGGUCGCCUCGAGGAUCGCCCUGCCCGGAAUAAACAGAGUCAUCAAAUUUUAAG